UCCGUGCCAGCAGCCGCGGUAAUACGGAGGGUGCGAGCGUUAAUCGGAAUUACUGGGCGUAAAGCGCAUGCAGGCGGCCUGUUAAGUCAGAUGUGAAAGCCCGGGGCUUAACCUCGGAAUUGCAUUUGUAAACUAGGCAGGCUAGAGUCUUGUAGAGGGGGGUAGGAAUUUCAGGUGUAGCGGUGAAAUAGCGUAGAGAUCUGAAGGAAUACCAGUGGCGAAGGCGGCCCCCUGGACAAAGACUGACGCUCAGAUGCGAAAGCGUGGGGAGCAAACAGGAUUAGAUACCCCUGGUAG
rnacentral:rRNA from 1 species